rnacentral:rRNA from 1 species
UUCAUGACUGGUAACGAAAAAUGUCCCCUUUUUGGUUAACAAGAAGAGAUUGCAAAGGAGUUGGAUGCGUAGGGGCAUGAUAUCUCGAUGAUAGUGGCCAACACCACCUACAUGGGCAUGAACGCCCUCCAUGAUGCUGGCGGCCUUGGCAUGCUACCAGUCUACUUGUAUCUCCCUUGGGAGGUCAAGAUGGAUGUUGGCAUGCCCGAUACCGUUCAGGUUAUGCAGCGGUGUUGAAUAAAAUGCUGCCGGUGCAUGUGCGCAGCUUGAUGAAUCGUUCGCUGAUAAUGCUCCACUGCUACUGUCGGGCUUCCACGUGAUACCACUUGAUGCCAAGACGGAUGCACCAUCAGCAACACGUACACCAGACCUUGCAUCUACUCUUGAGGUUAAGGUUAGACCUGGUGUGCUCCUAGUGAUGCAUC